CUAUGACAGCCACGCUUUUCUCCAAGAUCGUUCUUGCCACUGGCUGUCGCUAGUUAACGAAAACUAUCGAUAAGAUACAGAAUCGCACAGUCGAUUGACAAUCAUUGCGCAAUAUAGUGACAAUUGCAUAAGAUGAUUGAAGGAAAUCUGAACUUUUUACGUCCAUUUUGUUUGGCAUCGGGAGUCGGGAACACCCGUCCUAGCUACGAUCCUAAUAGGCGGCGGAGGUAAGGAUCGGAGGGAUUCACCAAUGACGAGCGAGCCGAGCCGACGAAGAGGGGAUGAGUGCACGUGACUUGCAGCGUGUCGUGCUGUCAAAAUCGUAAGAUUUCAUCUGCAUGAAUUAAGAUUUUUCCCGACGAUUCCAUUUUCGCGCUUCCUCUCUCGACUGCUUCUUUGAAAAGAUAGCUUGUGAAAAAAAAUCAAGAUUGGUGAUUAAUUCAUGGCAGUGAGGAAACUCGGACUUUCCCUCUCCUUCCGCUACAGUUUGCGCACGCCUAAACAUGAAUAAAUAACUAUGUCGAUCUCGAUAUAUUAUAGGUAGAGUCAUUAACUAUAAAGCAAGAAGUUUACUACACUAACGGAACAUUUAAUUCCGGUAUAAAUAAUGGACGAUGAACGAGAGAACAAGUGCUUCGCGUGGCAAGCAUUAACUUGUCGUGUCACGAAACGUGCAUCGAACUGAAAGCGGAGCUAUAUAUAUAUAUAUAUAUAUAUAUACAAUGUUCAAUGUUUUAUACCUUCGAUACGUGCUAUAUAAAUCCCAACAUGUUUUAUAGAUUCAGAAUUAAAAAAUGCAUACACGUUUUUGCAAUUCAUGCAAAUGAAAAGUGAAAUGCAGAGACGAAGCAAGCCAUGGUGUCAUAAAAAAAAAACAAUUUUACACAUUGUUACAAAGCGGACGGCGAGUAUUGACGGUAUUUGCACGACGGAGAGUAUUUUGCGAGAUGACGUUACUCGAUUAUUCACUCCAUCGACUGGCAAAUUGAUUUAUCGUCAUCGUCAAACGGCUGCUGUAAUUCACAGGCAAAGAGAGAAAAAACUUGCGGGGGAUAUUUUAUAAGCCAAUUAAUAUUCGUUUAAUCUAAUCGCCGCUUUCGAAAUUAAUACGAAAAUCAGUUUUAAAAACACGAUUUGUGAUGAUUCCGAGGAGAAAUGUGGAUGGCACAUGUUGAGGACGGAUCAUUAGUAAAUAGAGUGUAACUAUAGUGAAUAGCAAUUGCGCAAAGUACGACGGGUGAUAUGCGAAUAAAAGAACUGCGAGUCCUAUUGUUUACGGAUCAAUAAUGAACGUGCGUAUGACUUCUAGCGAAUAAAUCCGCGAUUUAUUGUUCACAGUUGAUUAACUCGGUAUAAAAGAAACGCAUGCAAAGAAAGAACACAGGAAUAAUAAGAAUAAUUGACAGAUAAAUUAACGAGAAUUAUUCGUUACCUGAAUUAAAGCAUGAUAUAAACUAUUAACUUACAUUACCGCGAUACUUUGCGCACAUGAUCCUUUUACACUUUAUUUGUAUAGAAAUUGUUUCUUAAAACGCGACAAAUUUAGGAAAAAAUUGUCGAAUAAAUAUAAAUCCGAAAUUAGUUUAAGCGAAUUUAUGCGCACGCUCAUUCCGCAGAUUGAUUUUCCCCGAGACAAAUAAUCCAAAUGUUCGAUUCUACAUUAAAGCGAGCCAAGCAUUCUCGAAAACAUUUUGCUUUCGUUAGUAACGACGUUCCAUGCGUUCCCUUUCGGGAAACUCACGAGCAACAAUGCACUGAAAAUCGAUAUACCUCACACACGAUUUGAGGAACAAAAUGCGAAGACGUCGAGCGACCCGUCUCGUGUCUCGGCGCUCAUCAAGCUUUUAAUCAAUCGAAACCAUCUCCACUUCACGUCACUCUCGGUAAACGAACGGGAGAGUGAGUGAAGAGCCGCGACAGCCAACCACCGGAGUGAUGAAAAUUCCAAACCGCCGAAGAAAACUAACUGGCAGGCUAUUUAUUGUGUGUUGGGAAACGUCGCACACUUUCUCCCGGCUGUUACAAAAUCCCUAAACCCUCUGGCUUUCCUUGGCAACAAUGAUUUUGUAAGCACAAUCGCGUUGACUUUGAUAAGAAUAGCACAGCUGUAACGAUAUUAAAAGCGAGACGAUAUACGUGUGUAGUACAGCUUGAAAUAAAGGUUGGCUUACAUACGAUCACA